AAGGAAAGAGGGAGGAAGGAGGAACACAGGAAAGUCGAGCGGAUGAAGGGAGCUUGCUCCUGGAUUCAGCGGCGGACGGGUGAGUAAUGCCUAGGAAUCUGCUUGGUAGUGGGGGAUAACGUCCGGAAACGGGCGCUAAUACCGCAUACGUCCUGAGGGAGAAAGUGGGGGAUCUUCGGACCUCACGCUAUCAGAUGAGCCUAGGUCGGAUUAGCUAGUUGGUGGGGUAAAGGCCUACCAAGGCGACGAUCGGGAACUGGUCUGAGAGGAUGAUCAGUCACACUGGAACUGAGACACGGUCCAGACUCCUACGGGAGGCAGCAGUGGGGAAUAUUGGACAAUGGGCGAAAGCCUGAUCCAGCCAUGCCGCGUGUGUGAAGAAGGUCUUCGGAUUGUAAAACACUUUAAGUUGGGAGGAAGGGCAGUAAGUUAAUACCUUGCUGUUUUGACGGUACCAACAGAAUAAGCACCGGCUAACUUCGUC
rnacentral:rRNA from 1 species